GCGGAACUCCGGACCCGGGACCGUCGCCGGGAAGCUCCGGACCGUCGCCGGAGAAGCCCCGGACCGUCGCCGGAAGCUCUGGACCGUCGCCGGAAGCCCCGGACCGGGGGACCGUCGCCGGAGCUCCGGACCGUCGCCGAACUCGGACCAGCUCCGGACCGUCGCGGAAGCUCUCGGACCAGCUCCGGACCGUCGCCGGAAGCUCUGGACCGUCGCCGGAAGCUCUGGACCAGCUCCGGCCUCGCCGGAGCUCGGACCAGUCCGGACCGUCGCCGGGAGGAAGCUCUGGACCCAGCUCCGGACCGUCGCCGGAGGGAACUCUGGACCGUCGCCGGAGCCCCGGACCGGGGAACGUCGCCGGAAGCUGCUGGACCGUCGCCGGAAGCCCCGGACCGGGGGGGACCGUCGCCGGGAAGCUGGACGGGGACCGUCGCCGGAAGCUCCGGACCGGGGACCGUCGCCGGAAGCUCCGGACCGUCGCGGAAGCUCCGGAGGACGUCGCCGGAAGCUCCGACCGUCGCCGGAAGCUCCGGACCGGGGACCGUCGCCGGAAAGCUCCGGACCGUCGCCGGAAGCUCUGGACCCCAGCUCCGGACCGUCGCCGGAAGCUCUGGACCAGCUCCGGACCGUCGCCGGAAGCUCGGACCAGCUCCGGACCGUGCCGGAAGCUCUGGACCGUCGCCGGAAGCCCGGACCGGGGACCGUCGCCGGAACCAGCUCCGGACCGGGGACCGUCGCCGGAAGCUCCGGACGGGGACCGUCGCCGGAAGUCCGGACCGGGGACCGUCGCCGAAGCUCCGGACCGGGGACCGUCGCCGGAAGCUCCGGACCGGGGACCGUCGCCGGAGCUCCGGCGGGACCGUCGCCGGACGCUCGGACCGUCGCGGAAGCUCCGGACCGGGACCGUCGCCGAGAAGCUCCCGGACGGUCGCCGGAAGCUCCGGACCGGGGACCGUCGCCGGAAGCUCCGGACCGGGGACCGUCGCCGGAAGCUCCGGACCGGGGACCGUCGCCGGAAGCUCCGGACCGGGAACUGUCGCUGGAAGCUGGAGGUGCACUGGAGGCCUGAUGCGUGGGACCGGUACAGGUAGCAUCGGUCCCACGCAUCAGGAGGCGCAUUGGAGGACUAGAGCGUAG
rnacentral:lncRNA from 1 species